AGGAUGUGCCCAGAGGGCGCCCUUCCUUCAGAGGCCUCGUUUGCCCGACACUUACGACAGGCCUUAGGACGUAAGGCGUGGACGUGCGUGACGUCACCCUCUGGCCUGCGAGAAGGCGAGGGCAAGUAGCGGGGCCGUUGCUCCCUUGGGAUCCGGGUGUGGCUCGGCUCAGGUAACGCCCGGCCCUAGGACUCCUUCGGCCUCCGCCCACGGGGAGUGCUGAGACUGCCGGCCGGUGUGCUGGCGACCUUUACCCAGGCUUGGUCAAGGCUUCCUGACUGGCGCAACUGCACUGGCCUCACAGUGGACGCCUGCUGGUGACCUUUACUCUGUUAAACCAUCUUCCUGCUCUCCCAGUGAGAGCCUCAAAGCUGGGGAAGUGAAUGGAUGAACUGGGAGAUGUCUGACUCGACUUAGAAUUUCUGAAGCAUGCACACUAUGGCUAAGUUUCAGACUGAAAAGCCAGAAAAAACAGGUAGAAGUUACAAGAAAGAAAAAGUUUUUUUAGAAACACCACAAAGAAAAUGAUCAACAAUCAAGAACAGACAAAAGCAGAAUGGAUUGGCUGUGUGGAAGGUUUUUGUUUUAUGAGUGUGUGUAUAUGCAUGACUGUAUGUAUGGUACACGUGUGUGCAGUUGCCCUAGGAGGCCAGGAGAGGGCACUGCAUCUUCAGGAACUGGAAUUACUGGUGGUUGCAAGCUGCCUAAUGUAGGAUAUGGGAGCCAGACUCACAUCUUGAGAACCAAACUUGCGUCCUUAGGAAGAACAGCAAGUGCUCUUAACAGAUGAAGUAUCUUUCCAGCCCUACUUUGGAAGUGUUUAAACUGAGAUAAGGUGGCUUUCUGUCUUAAUACCCUAAGAAUAAAGAAAAAAGUUUGUUGUAUGUGUUUCUACGCAGAUUGUGAAGCCAGAAGUUGACAUUAAACAUCUUCCUUGACC
ensembl:antisense 5430402O13Rik RIKEN cDNA 5430402O13 gene